AGCCGCGGUAAUUCCAGCUCCAAUAGCGUAUAUUAAAGUUGUUGCAGUUAAAAAGCUCGUAGUUGAAUUUCGGGAUUGACGUGAUGGUCAUGCCUUAAGGGGUAUGAACUGUUACUGUUGAUUUCUCACCUUCUGGAGAAACUUGAUGUCCUUUAUUGGGUGUCUUGCGGAUCCAGGACCUUUACCUUGAAAAAAUUAGAGUGUUUAAAGCAGGCAUUUUUGCUCGAAUACAUUAGCAUGGAAUAAUAGAAUAGGACGGCAUGGUUCUAUUUUGUUGGUUUCUAGGAUCACCGUAAUGAUUAAUAGGGAUAGUUGGGGGCAUUAGUAUUCAAUUGUCAGAGGUGAAAUUCUUGGAUUUAUUGAAGACUAACUACUGCGAAAGCAUUUGCCAAGGAUGUUUUCAUUAAUCAAGAACGAAAGUUAGGGGAUCGAAGACGAUCAGAUACCGUCGUAGUCUUAACCAUAAACUAUGCCGACUAGGAAUCAGACGAUGUUAAUUUUUUAAUGACUCGUUUGGCACCUUACG
rnacentral:misc_RNA from 1 species